UGCGCUGCCCCGCCGCCGCGCCAUGACCCUUAGCUCGGAGAUGUCCGAGGCGUCGACUCUGGCUGAGGAGACCGACAUUGAUGUGGUGGGCGAGGAGGACGACGAGGAGGACGACGAGGAGCCACAGACCCGCCGCCGCCGCCGCUCCUACGCCGAGGACGAGGAGGAGGACGAGGACGACGACUUGGAAGAGGACGAGGAGGAUGUGGGCGACCUCCACGCCGCCGCCCUACUGCCGCGGUCGCCCGUGCGCGGUGGAGGCGUAGGUGGCGGCGGCGGCGGGGCGGGCGGCGGGGACGCUGCCGGUGGCUCUCGGCCCCCCUCGCAGGGUGGCCCGCAGAAGGCGACGGCGGGCGGCGGUGGGGCGGGCGGCGGCGGCGGCGGGGCGGGCAGCGGCGGCGGCAAGAACAGCCUGGUGAAGCCGCCCUACUCCUACAUCGCUCUCAUCACCAUGGCCAUCCUGCAGAGCCCCAAGAAGAGGCUGACGCUGAGUGAGAUCUGCGAGUUCAUCAGCGGGCGUUUCCCCUACUACCGGGAGAAGUUCCCCGCGUGGCAGAACAGUAUCCGCCACAACCUCUCCCUCAACGACUGCUUCGUCAAGAUCCCCCGGGAGCCCGGCAAUCCUGGCAAAGGCAACUACUGGACGCUGGACCCCGAAUCAGCCGACAUGUUCGACAACGGGAGCUUCCUGCGCCGCCGAAAGCGCUUCAAGCGGCAGCAGCUCCCGGCGCCCGAGCUUCUGCUGCGCGCCGUGGACCCAGCCGCCUUCCUCCCGCAGCCUCCGCCGCAGCCCCCGCAGCAGCCGCCCUGCGCCUACGGACCCUACGGCUGCGGCUACGGUCUCCAGCUCCAGCCUUACCACCCCCACUCCACCCUCUUCGCCUUCCAUCACCCCUCUCCGCCACCCCGCCAGCCCCCUGCCGCCCCCGGCAGCGCCCCCGGUGCGGCGCUGCCCCCCGCCGCCGCCGCGCCGCCUGGCCCCUUGCUGCCGGCGGCGGAGCUGGCACGGACGCCCUUCGGCUACGCGCACCCGCUGGGCCCGGCGCUGGCGGCAUCGCUGCACUCCGCCAAGCCCGGCAGCGGCGCGGCGCUGGCCCGCUCGCCCUUCUCCAUCGAGAGCAUCAUCGGGGGAAGCCCCGGCCCCGGUGCGGGCAGCAGCUGUGCCUCGCAGUCCACCGCGGCGCCGGGGCUGGCCCGCUCGCUGGGGAGCGCCGGGAGCGGCCUGCCCCCCGCCGCCGCCCUGCCCGCCACCCCCGGCUUCGCGGCACGGAUCUCUAACUGUUAAGUGUUUGGGAGUCUUUCCGAAGGUAGGAUCUGGGGUAUCUCCUUUCUCCGCCGCUCGGACGCCCGGCGGACGCUGCCCACAGGGGCUGCCUGUCUUUGCGUGGGGAUAAUUGUGACGGGGCUCGGGGGCUGUCCGCCGCGAACGACGGACCUCCCGUGACCUUCACUAGUGCAAAGCCAGGUGUAGAUCUAGAUACUGCACGGGCAGGCGGUCUCUACAUCGGAAAGUUACUCGCUACACGUUAAAAAGAAACAAACAUGGUGAUAAAUAAUGUCUCUAAACUGUUAAAGUUCAGAGAUUCUCAGGUCUAGGAGCUUGAAAACAGUAAUGUACAGGAGAAAGAAAGGCUUGAGGGAGGACAGCAGAGCAAUACUUUUUCAUUUAGUACACUUGUCUCAUGUACUUUUAUAAAAGAAAAGAUUAACGUGUUUACACAGAAGAAAGUCAAGAUUAUCAUUUCUUAUUUUAACCUGUGUUUUGUAUUAUAAUAGACUUAUGGAGUUUUUUAUUUUGUACUUUAUGCGUAUUCUUUACAAGGAAUAUUGUUAAAAUUACUGGCAAGUAUUAUUGUACCAUUUUAAUGUAAAAUUUUUACACAUUUUCAAAAAUAAAAUUUUUAAUUUUCAAAAAAACAAAAAAUCGAAACCAAACCCAAAGACCAAAGGAGCCCAGCCAAACAAUUGGCUUUGGAUCAUUCCCUCCUUAGCACUUCUCCUUUCUUUGGGACACUGAUAUUUUUUUUUUCUUUGGGAUUAAUAGCACAACAGUCAAGGAAUAUUCUAGCUUGAAAUUUAUUAUGUGCCGAUAUGACCGCAAAGAAGAAAAUAAAAAUACAGUCUUUGCAGUCAAUGCAUUGUUAGCCCUAGAAGAUAAAGAAAGAAAGGAAAAAAAAAAAGGAAAAGAAAACACCAACAAAAAAAGCAACAACAAAACAAAAAAACACUGUAUAAAAAACAGCAGGAACGAAAGAGGGGAUAAAUAGAAAUAGGUCUCUCUGGAGGGAGUAAAGCCCAGUUCUGUAAGGCACCAAUCAGGGGAUUGAUUAAAAAGCCGGUCUAAAACUAUUUUUAUACUUUUGGGUGUGUUUUAAAUCACAACAGCAUCAUAGUUUGGUUUCCAAGAGGCCCAAAGGAAAAUACUACUAAUAAAGGGCAUACAUUGAACUUAAGAGAGAUUUGUUCUAGACACUUAUGUUUCUGUGACGAUAAUAGUGGCAUGUGUUUCUACUUUUCAAUACAUAAAAUAUAAAAUGCGCUUUGUAAAAUCCUCGUGUGACGAGUUGAUUAAGUUUAUAAGCUGUCGAAGUAAGGAUAUUUGAAUGUACAAAACAAUCCAUGAAAGCAGCUUUUCUGAUUCCAAACACUCGUUUUUAACAGCAUAAGGUCGAUAGAUAUCUAUUUUAGAGACUUUUAAAAAAAAAUUAACUAAAAAUCCGGCCUCAAUUAUUCAGAGCUUAUAUAUGGAAAAGAGAAUCGCAUGUUUAAAGAGUAGGCGUGUGAAUGCUUGUUGUGGACUAGGAAUAUGCGUUUUUCAAACCAGGGAGACGCUUUUCAACUACGACUGUAUUUAUAACAAUUUAGGAGACUCGGGGAUCAAUUAUGUGAAUUUUCAUAAUAAAAAAAAUAAAAAGGGAGGGAUGCCUUUUAGUACUCUUUGGAAUGAGGAGGGGUUUUACAUACAGAAGUAACUCGUGGCCUUGAUUUUAAAUAUUCUCGUAGAUAGAAAAGCGGUGGUUCUCCGUUCUAUCUGUAGCAAUGCUGUUAAAAUAGUGGGUUUCAAAAAGCAGGAAGACUGGACAUAAGAUCUCUGCUGGGAUCCAUUUGCAGUCUGGAACUGGAAGGCCUCUUUGGGUGUCCCGGGCUCCUUAGCAGAAAAAGAAGUCAAGUCCGUUGUAAUUUCUAAAACAAAAGGGAAAAUACCCCAGAGCCACUGUGUAUAUAUCCUCUGGGGAGAGCGCGUCUUUUUCACGAGAGACCCAUUAAUUCACUUUCCCCGGGACUGGCCGGAGGAUGCGCCGGGCCGACGGGCCGGUACAGCGUGGAGUAGCAAGCUAAGCAGAGACCCCCCUCGAAAAGGCAGAUCAAGCAGGGAAAGGUUUUGCGGGGCAGAAAGCAGCUGUGGCCGUGCAGCGGUGCGAGGCUCCCCGAGGAGGGAUGCUAUGAUGCUGGCCCUCAGUCUGGGUUCUGUCCGCUCGAGUCCUAGCCAUCUCCACGAGCAGUUACACGAGAAGGGUAGAUUCCGGCGUCCCACCCUGUGUUUGUUUCUCUUGGCUUCUCCGUAGUAGACUCUGGAGAGCCCGGCGACCUCCCCCACCCAGACCCCGGUCCGGCCCAGGCCGGCGGACAGUGGGGUCCAGGUAUGCCCACCGCCCGUCUCUCAGUUCCCCUUAGAGGUGUAUAUGGCAAGUAAACUGUUUGGCCACUUGCUCCUUCCAUGCUUUUCGCCGGUUGCUUGCAUCUCGUGCAGACAAGACCUUCCCUCGGGAGUUGGUAGGGAAGCUGACAGGAGCAAAUUGCCGUAGGUGGUAUAGAUUUCCUUUUUUUCUGCAAGCAAAAGGGGGUCGAGGGAGAGGCCGAGGGUCGAGGGAGAGGCCUGGGGUCGUGGUGAAGGACCCUUUUGCCUGUUCUCCUCGAGUCGGCGGGGAAGCUGCCUUGCCUUGGUCCCAGUCCCGAGGGUCCCUGUUUCCCCGCUGCUGCCCCGGAGCAGGUGCCGCCAGAAAAGGCGCCGGCUCCACAGCCCUUUGAUGAGCUCGCAGCACCGCCGGGCCGCAGCGCCCCAUUCGCAUGCUAAUAACCCGUCGUGCUCUCCGCGGCUUUCAAGACUAACAGAGAAGCUUACAGUGUAGUCCUCGCAAGAACUGAGCCCGGACGAACAAUUCCUCCAAAAUGGUCUGGGCCCUAAUAAAAAAUCUGAUAGGACAUGCAGUAUAGUAUCGCCUCCUUCUCUGUCAGAGACAAAGUGUGGGUUCAUUAACCCGUCUCCUUGCUCAUCAUAUCCCCGUAGGGCUGAGACGAAUUACUGGAUCUGAAUUGGGAGGGGAUUGCUCUAUGAGAGGCUAAUGUUUCAAUCAGUUCAUCCUGAAGGACCACACAAAAAGAAACUUUUUAGUUUAUGGUGCUAUUAUGCGGAGUUUUAAUCUAGGGAUAGAUUUAGCCAAAUGUUAUCUAUUGGGAAUUUAAUGAAGCCCUUAUGUAUUCAAUCGUCUUUUAUGCCACACACAGUGUCUCUAUCCAGAAAUGUUUCCUUCCUCAUAGUUCUUUGUUUCUGAUGGGUGAUUUAUAUUUUUUUAACUAGGCUUUUUAAAAAUUAUUUAUUUUCAAACAUAUUGUAUAACGUUUCUCUUAAGCAGGACUGUGUUAGGUCCCUUCUCACAUCUCCUAUAAGAGGUUUCCCUUUCCCUUCCUGGUUUCGAAGAUGGAUAUUUUGCACGUCCACACACUCUGCCCUUCCCGCUGAAGCGCUCCCGCUGCCUUGUGCGGAUGGGCCGGACAUCGUGCCCACUCUGCCGACACCGCCGUGGGCUGCGACAGGCAGCGCAGCCCGGGGGUCCGGCCGAGCCCCGUGGCUCCCCGUGCACAGUUACCCAGCCCUGAAGCUGCCCUCCACCCAAACCUUCCCCACCCGCAGCUCCUUUGGACCAUACUUUCGGUUCGGUUUGUAUUUUAGACGCGGUGAGAAGCACCGGGGGUCAGCAGGGUGCACAUCCCGUGCUUGCGGGCUGGUUUCAAAUACACAGGACCAGCCCCAUCACCAAGUCCGGAAGAUGGAAGAGGGGGGCGAGGCCCUCACCUGCUCUCAGCUGCUCCCUUUCUCGCAGCGCUGGUGGCGAGGGCAGAGCACACGAUCUCCACCGUCGAGACUGAGGCCUAUUCGGGGAUCUGUGGGAAAAUGGAUCUGGUUUAACUGUCCCUUGGCACGGCCCGGAGACUCCACUCCGUAUGUAGUACUUUCCAUUAGUACUUACAGUAAGUACUGCUGUAGUGUCUGAUAAUAUUGUAUUUGACAGAAGUAAUGGAAAUUAUGAUCUAUGCCAAGCCCUCUCUGCUCUGGAGCUUCUAACCACUGAAGAUCUGUUUUUCAGCUUGUUCACAGUGGCUUCCCCACCUGCAGUGGUAUUUCCCCUCCUUCCCUCGGCGACGGGCCGCACACAUCAUCGGAACCGAGCACUGGCGGGGACUGGCUGCCAUGUGCCCGCAGCUCAGCGCAUCCCGACCAGUCCUUUCUCCUUUCCAACCCUCACCGUGAGAGUCACGUCCAGCAGUGCCCUUUGGGUCUCUGCUCACUGCCCCUUCCUGCGCUGCAAAGCACGCCCAAGAUGUGGAGGAGACGUUCACGCACAAGUGUGUGUAUGUGUGUGCAGGAGAAUGGCACUCCAGAAGGUAACAAGAUGCUGCCGGAUCCACGCUGCGGCAACAACCGUGCUGGGUGCCUCGUUGCGCAGUUGGGUGCCUGUCGAUUUUGGGGAGGGACGGAGAAAUGAACGCGAGUUCCAAGUCGGUAAACCUCUUGCUCUUGUUUUUCACUUGCGGAAGAACUCUGUUCCCGCCGCCAGUCCCCCCCGCCUCGAGGUGUACUGCAGGCAGCCGGCCCUGGAGACACGCCGGCCCCUUCCCAGACGCUUGCCUCGGCUCGCCGCUCAGUUACCGGCACGACCGAAAACAACAAAGGCAAAGGCUGCAGGGUUGGGAAGGCACGCACGGGGAGCCCCUCGGCCGAACUCGCGAGCAGCCGCAGUGCGGGUGGCACCGAGGGCUGUGCGCGGCUGCGCAGCCGAGCAGAGCUUCCCCGGCCUCGGCGUGUGAGCGGGGAGAGACCGGACGGCGUCUCCGCGACAGUCACCGCAGGAUGCCCACGGAAGAUGCACAGCGUACGAAGAUAAGCCCUCAGUGCAGCAGCGAGAGACACAGAGGCACCCGCUGCGCUCCGCGUCACGGAGAGACCUAUCGGCUAGGCACCGCAGUGCCCAAAACGUAGAAAAACAUUUGGACUGAACUGGACGAAAGGCGGUUUUUUGUUGUUUCUGUUUUGGGUUUUUUGUUUUCUUAAGUGCAGUGUCUAGUCAAUUUCAGAAAUUCCACCACUGAGCUAAAUUCAGAAGGAAAUUUGUAGUUUUGAGGUUUUUAUUUUUCUGAUCAAAAUAAUUAAACUUGCCCUUCCUCUAAGCCACAGGAGACCUGUUGAAUAGAUUCUGUUUCCCUUUCGUUGAUGCAGUAAAACGGCAUGCAGAAAUCUGCGCGUCCCCAUAUUUUGAUGACAGAUUAUGCAAUUUAUGUUAGAAGCAAAAGGAUAAUUAGAUAAUUCAGUUGUUGCAUUAAUUCGUUUCUUAAGGCUGGGAAAGCCUUAUCUCUACGGUAAAUCCGAAGAUAUUUCUGUCCCCUGCGUGAAAUAGGAAACCAUGUGAGAGCAUCGAAAGGCGUUCGAACAUUCAGGAGUGUGUUUCUCGCACCCGGUGAUAUCACCAUCCCGUGCCCGCACUGCGGUCAUCUCUCCUGCUAAUGCCCAGGCUUUGGCAGUCCUUUAAAAACCCGUGAAUGUCUCUUCGUACCGCAGUGGUCGUAGGACUGCUUCUUCAGUUUCAUUGCAGGGGAGUACAUGCACACCUGUAUAUACGAGAUACAUUAAAUACAUACAAUCAAGAUUAAUGA